CCUACGGGAGACAGCAGUGAGGAAUAUUGGUCAAUGGGCGAGAGCCUGAACCAGCCAAGUCGCGUGAGGGAGUACUGCCCUAUGGGUUGUAAACCUCUUUUGUCGGGGAGCAAAAGCCGGACGUGUCCGGCUGUGAGAGUACCCGAAGAAAAAGCAUCGGCUAACUCCGUGCCAGCAGCCGCGGUAAUACGGAGGAUGCGAGCGUUAUCCGGAUUUAUUGGGUUUAAAGGGUGCGCAGGCGGAUUUUUAAGUCAGCGGUCAAAUCGUGGGGCUCAACCCCAUCCAGCCGUUGAAACUGUUUUUCUUGAGUACCGGAGAGGUCAUCGGAAUUCCUUGUGUAGCGGUGAAAUGCGUAGAUAUAAGGAAGAACACCAGUGGCGAAGGCGGAUGACUGGACGGCAACUGACGGUGAGGCGCGAAAGCGUGGGGAGCAAACAGGAUUAGAUACCCCGGUAGUC
rnacentral:rRNA from 1 species